rnacentral:rRNA from 1 species
AUUGAACGCUGGCGGCAGGCCUAACACAUGCAAGUCGAACGGUAACACGAAGCAGCUUUCUGCUUCGCUGACGAGUGGCGGACGGGUGAGUAGUGUCUGUGCAGCUGUCUGAUGUAGGGGGAUAACUAGUGGAAACGGUAGCUAAUACCGCAUAAUGUCGCAAGACCAGAGAGGGGGGGCUUCUGGCCUCUUGCGAUCGUAGGUGCCCAGAUGGGGGUAGCGUGGUUGUGGGGUAACGGCCCACCAAGGGGGCGAUCCCUAGCGGGUCUGAGAGGAUGGGCAGCCACACUAGAAAGUGGACGCGGUCCUGAGGCCUACGGGAGGGCGCAGGGGGGAAUGUUGGGCAAUGGGCGGAAGCCUUAUGCAGCCAUGCCGCGUGUAUGAAAAAGGCCUUCGGGUUGUAAAGUACUUUCAGCGGGGAGAAAGGGAGUAAAGUUAAUACCUUUGCUCAUUGACGGUACCCGCAGAAGAAGCACCGGCUAACUCCGUG